rnacentral:rRNA from 1 species
ACGGAGGGGGCUAGCGUUGUUCGGAAUUACUGGGCGUAAAGCGCAUGUAGGCGGACCAGAAAGUUGGGGGUGAAAUCCCGGGGCUCAACCCCGGAACGGCCUUCAAAACUAUUGGUCUGGAGUUCGAGAGAGGUGAGUGGAAUUCCGAGUGUAGAGGUGAAAUUCGUAGAUAUUCGGAGGAACACCAGUGGCGAAGGCGGCUCACUGGCUCGAUACUGACGCUGAGAUGCGAAAGCGUGGGGAGCAAACAGG